rnacentral:ncRNA from 2 species
CUAGGCAAUAACUAUACAGCUUAUAUAAGUUCAUAAUAUGGCUGAACGUUUCUACCAAUUACCUCAAUAAUUGACUAUAAGUUUUUGUGCCUUAUUU